GCGCCCGUAGCUCAGCUGGAUAGAGCACCAGACUACGAAUCUGGGGGUCAGGAGUUCGAAUCUCUUCGGGCGCGCAA
rnacentral:tRNA from 1 species